rnacentral:tRNA from 1 species
GCAGCAGGUGGAGCAGUGGUUAAAACUGUGGUUACAAACCAUUGCUUUGUACUCAAAGGUGUUGGGUUCAAAUCCCACCUGCUGCU